rnacentral:rRNA from 1 species
UACGGGGGGGAGCAAGCGUUGUUCGGAUUUACUGGGCGUAAAGGGCGCGUAGGCGGUCAGCACAAGUCAGUUGUGAAAUCUCCGGGCUUAACUCGGAAAGGUCAACUGAUACUGUGCGACUAGAGUGCAGAAGGGGGCAACUGGAAUUCUCGGUGUAGCGGUGAAAUGCGUAGAUAUCGAGAGGAACACCUGCGGCGAAGGCGGGGUCUCUGGGCAGUAACUGCGCUGAGGAGCGAAAGCGUGGGGAGCGAACAGG